rnacentral:rRNA from 1 species
GGCGGCAGGCUAACACAUGCAAGUCGAACGGUAACACUGACUAGCUUGCUAGUUGAUGACGAGUGGCUGGGUGAGUAACGCGUAGAAUCUACCCAGUAGCGGGGUGAUAAGCCAGAGAAAUUUGGUCUAAUACCGCAUACGCCCUUCGGGGGAAAGCAGGGUGAUCUUCGGACCUUGCACUAUUGGAUGAGCCUGCGUGAGAUUAGCUAGUUGGUAGGGUAAUGGCCUACCAAGGCAACGAUCUCUAGCUGGUCUGAGAGGAUGAUCAGCCACACUGGAACUGAGACACGGUCCAGACUCCUACGGGAGGCAGCAGUGGGGAAUAUUGCAACAAUGGGACGCAAGCCUAGAUGCAGCCACAUGCCGCGUGUGUAGAAGAAGGCCCUAGGGUUGUAAAGCACUUUCAGGACACUAGAGGAAAGGUGCGUAGUUAAUACACUGACGUAACUGUGACGUUACUGCCAGAAGAAGCACCGGCUAACUCCGUUGACAGGCCAGCCCGGCGGU